CUAUGACCUAAAUUGAGUCAUGGCGGAAGGAG
ncrna:unclassified sequences L31-Firmicutes ribosomal protein leader